GGGGGAGUAGCUCAGCCUGGUAGAGCGCCUGCAUGGCAUGCAGGAGGUUCGCGGGUUCAAAUCCCGUCUCCUCCA
rnacentral:tRNA from 1 species